ACUCAUCACCCUCCGCCCUCCUGGCUGAGAACAGACAGACGUCUUCCGGGACCACAGAGCAUGAGAAAGAGAAAGGGAAGAUUGAUCUCGGUAGAAGAAGGCAAAUCUUCUCCAGGAAGGGAAACCCCCAGCCCUGUAAAUCCGUCACCAACAACUGUGAAGAAACGCCACCACCUUCUGGGAAGCAGCGCUGCCUGGAGCUGACAGAGGAAGGCCCCGCCCUUCCCUCAGCUUCUCCUGGUCACCUUGGGUACCCCUUCCGCUCUCUUCAUUGGCUGAAGGUUCAAACUUCUCCCGGACGAGACACCCGAAGGACUCAACUCCUGUUACAGGUGAAGGAGGAAAAGCUGACUGAUCGACAUAGAGACACAUGCCUGGUGGCGAGAGGAGAGAGACCAGGGUCCCUGGGGAGCAGAGCCAGCCAGCAGAUGCUCGGUGGUCACCCAGAAAAGAUCAGGUGAGUUCACAUCCACCUCUGAGAGCACCAGGAAUGGGGGAAGGACAGCUUUACCACCUCCUACUUCUUGAUGGUCACCUUUCUGGACCUCAGGGCAUACAUCACUAACAGGAAGAGCCUGUGGCAGCCUGGAAAAGCAGCUCGCGACAUUAAUUGGAAAUUUACCAAAAGUCAAAGUCACAAACAGGCUCUGAGUAAAAGCUGCGUGGACUCUUCCACGUUAAAAAUACACAUAUGCGUAAAUGCGCAGCAGCAGGUGAGCAUUGUUAACAGCGGCAGCAUCGACAAGAUCAGUGUCACCAUCAUCAUCAAUAUCAGCAUCGUGAUCAACCUAGCAACAGCAGCAUCAACCUUGACAUCAGCAUCAGCAUCAACAUCGACAUCAGCAGCAUCAACAUCAGUAUCAUCAGCAGCAUCAGCCUGACAGCAUCAGCAUCAACAUAAUAUCAGCAUCAGCAUCAACAUCGACAUCAGCAGCAUCAACAUCAGUAUCAUCAGCAGCAUCAGCCUGACAGCAUCAGCAUCAACACUGAUAUCAGCAUCAGCAUCAACAUCGACAUCAGCAGCAUCAACAUCAGUACCAUCAGCAGCAUCAGCCUGAGAGCAUCAGCAUCAACAUAAUAUCAGCAGCAUCAUCAUUAUCAACAGCAGCAGCAACGUGUUCUUAACUAGCUCAGGGCCAGGCAUCCCUGGUCAUGCCUCUGCCCACCUGCAUCGGAGAGUGGAAAGAGAUUACUCUUCCUAUAACAGAACGAGUUGUUUUGUGUGUCUUCCUGUGAUCCUGGGCGUGUUUGCUCACCUCUGAGGCCCGGCCCCCCUGCUGAGCCAUGAGACCUUCCUGCCCCAGGCCUGUCUCAUCCCUAGCACAUUCCUGCUGCCAUGUCUGUUCUGCUCUUUUCUUUUCCUGAAGCUCCUCUGCUUCCCGCCUCACCCGUACAGGUCUGCCCACCUUCUCCCAGAAGCCUUGCACUCCCCUUGCCUUCACUCACCCCAAUUCUCCACCUUGGCCUGUACCUCCCACCUUGGGAAUUAGCUGCUCCUGUGGCCUCCCAGCUGGUGAUUCCCACUGUGUAAAGCUGGCAGGUUUUUCUUUGCGGCCUCCACGUGCUGCCUCUGCCUCAGGUCUGGAGACACAGGGGUUCAGCUGGGGGCCCGCCUCACUCAGCUCUUCUCUCCAGAGACAGGGAGCAGGGUUAGGGUGGCCGUAUCGCAGCUGCCAGCCUUGACAUGACCCCUUUUCCCAGGGGUCUUGCCUUUUCCCUCACCCAUAUCCCUUUUCCCAGGAAUUGUUUAAUUCAGUCAAGUUAAGUUAGUUACUGAGUUACCUGGUGCUGUUAUUCACUAUAGGUAGUUUAUCACGUA